UUGCAGCCAAUAGUGAGAGGUUGGGGUGUGGCUAAUGUAGCAGGCUGGCUGAGCCAGAGGGUGAUUUUAGACGGCAUGGAAAAAUAAAUUCAGAUUCUGUUACAGAAGAGCAAGCCAAAAGUUCAAAGAGUUCUUAAAAAUACACAGAGACAAGACAACGGGGUAAAACAAGUGUAAACACAGGCAGUGUUCUUACAAGAUGGAAGGACUCAAACGAUACGACAAACUUGCAGAGUAUCUUAGCAGGACAAGUGAAAAUCACAUGGCAAGCAUCUCUUCUCUGAAAGCAGCGAGUGGGAGGCAGAGUGGAAAGUGUCGUGGGAGAUGUACCUCAAAUGUAAUCUGUUGUGUGGGCAGUGAUUCACAUCGUGUCCUGGUGUUUAGAUGUGAACCUGUCGUGCUUUACUCACGGCAGCCAGGAGUCUGUUCUCUAACUUUACCGGUGUGUGGUCCGUCUCUGCUCUAGGUUCCUUGGUAGUAAGGACCGACACUGCGGGAAACAUGGUGUGAUACCCCAGAGGCUUAAUACAUCUAAAAUGACCAAAAUAACAUGUUCAUAGGUGGGUGAAUUGAAGGUCAGGCUGUGCAGAGGUCCACAGAGAAGCACUGCUAUAUUUAUG